AAGCAUAUCAAUAAGCGGAGGAAAAGAAACUAACAAGGAUUCCCCUAGUAACUGCGAGUGAAGCGGGAAAAGCUCAAAUUUAAAAUCUGGCAGUCUCUGGCUGUCCGAGUUGUAAUCUAGAGAAGUAAUGCCCGUGCUGGACCGUGUAUAAGUCUCCUGGGAUGGGGCGUCAUAGAGGGUGAGAAUCCCGUCUUUGACACGGACUACCAGUGCAUUGUGGUAUGCUCUCAAAGAGUCGAGUUGUUUGGGAAUGCAGCUCAAAAUGGGUGGUAAAUUCCAUCUAAAGCUAAAUAUUGGCGAGAGACCGAUAGCGAACAAGUACCGUGAGGGAAAGAUGAAAAGAACUUUGGAAAGAGAGUUAAACAGUACGUGAAAUUGCUGAAAGGGAAACGCUUGAAGUCAGUCGCGUUGGCCGGGAAUCAGCCUUGCUUCUGCAUGGUGUACUUUCUGGUUGACGGGUCAGCAUCAAUUUUGACCGCUGGAAAAAGGCCUGGGGAAUGUGGCAGCUUCGGCUGUGUUAUAGCCCCUAGUUGCAUACAGUGGUUGGGAUUGAGGAACUCAGCACGCCGCAAGGCCGGGUUUCGACCACGUUCGUGCUUAGGAUGCUGGCAUAAUGGCUUUAAGCGACCCGUCUUGAAACACGGACCAAGGAGUCUAACAUGCCUGCGAGUAUUUGGGUGGAAAACUCAAGUGCGUAAUGAAAGUGAAAGUUGAGAUCCCUGUCGUGGGGAGCAUCGACGCCCGGACCAGAACUUUUGGGACGGAUCCGCGGUGGAGCAUGUAUGUUGGGACCCGAAAGAUGGUGAACUAUGCCUGAAUAGGGUGAAGCCAGAGGAAACUCUGGUGGAGGCUCGUAGCGAUUCUGACGUGCAAAUCGAUCGUCAAAUUUGGGUAUAGGGGCGAAAGACUAAUCGAACCAUCUAGUAG
rnacentral:rRNA from 1 species